rnacentral:lncRNA from 1 species
UGAACUGUCACUGGCACAUUUGCUCUACCAUUUUGACUGGAAACUCCCAAAUGGAAUGAAGGCAUAGGAUCUAGACAUGACUGAAGCAUUAGGUCUAGUAGUUCGCAGAAAACAAGAUCUGCACUUAAUUCCCAUUUUGGAUAAUCCAUUGCAUGCUCAGUAAUACUACCCAGAAGAAGCAUUAGAUUGAUGGAUGAUUCUUAUUUGGAUUACGGCUUUAUGUAUCAUCUUAAACAAUGUUAUCUAUUUCUACUAUAUAUUGUAAUUAAUGCAAUACAAGUUGCUACCAUAUAAUAAAAAUUUAACCUCACAUCGCUUGAGAUGCCUUAUAGAGAGGCCAACUUAGCAAGCUUGGAUUGAACCUCGUGCAACCUAUCCAAUUAAGGUUAGGCUUAUGCAGGUAUAUAACCCGAUGUAAGUAAUACUUACCUUCUUGUUAUUUUUUUCAAAAAGCUACCUGUUAGCUUGCAGGAGUUCUCAACUUGAGUUGGUGAAGCUCCAAUUCAAGGGUUGAGUACCUAGUACAAUUGUUGUCCAUGAGUCUACUAUAAAAUUAGCAUAUGAUACAUUCAAGUGAAAAUCCUGCAGUUGUCAGGAACUGGAAAAUCCUUCCAACACCCUCUCUGAUAUCUCACUCUAUUUACAUAUCACUGUCUCCAGAAGUAGAAGUACCAAGUGUUGACAGAAGAAAGGAAUCUUAUAAGAAGAUUAAUGAAGUUGCAAUGGUAGUGGUACAAUGUUACACCAGUGAACCAACGAGUCAAUGUCGAGGUUUUCAAUAUGAAGUUUGGCAGUUGCCUUGAUUCAAGAUUCUUUGCUUCCAAAUAUCUAAACCAUACAAUUCAUGCUAACAACCAAAAUUUCUAGUUCUUCAACUUUUAUGACUCAUUGUGUUUGACCCAAUUGAAGAUGACAAAGAGGUACCACAAAGGAGAUGAUCCUAUUUCAUACAUCAAAUGCCUUAAUUUUUUGUUUUGUGCACACAUGAUCAUCAUAAAAUCCCAACAAUUUACACAACCUAAGCUAUCUAACCUCACAUCACUUGAGAUGCCCUAUAGAGAAACCAACUCAGCAAGCUUGGAUUGAAUGAACCUCAGGCAGCCUAUCCAACCCUUAAGGUCAGGCUUAUGCAGGAAUAUAGCCCUAACCCUUCCAAGUUAUGGCACUAAUUAGGCCACAAACGUAAUUAAGCAGCAUUUUUUAUUGUCAUAAGAAAUAUUUACCUUCUCCUAUAUUCUUUCAGAUUAAAUGUCUUAUAACUGUUCAAACAUUAAAAACAUUAAAAACUAUUCAUUCAUACAACAUUUUUUAAUUUAUUCCAAAAUUACCCUCAAACCUUCGUAUAACAACCUACCACCUAUCACCUUUUUUUUUCUUUUACAUCAAUUCUCUCACACGUUAAUCCUCUGGUGUCAAUUACCACCCUUACAUUCUCCUGCUCUCCCAUGUCAACUACCACCCUUACAUUCUCCCAUGUUAACUACCACCCUUCUUUAUGUUCUCCCAUGUCAACUACCACACUUAUAUUCUUCCAUGUCAACUACCACCCUUCCUUACAUUCUCCCAUGUUAACUACCACCCUUCCUUAUGUUCUCCCAUGUCAACUACCACACUUAUAUUCUUCCAUGUCAACUACCACCCUUCCUUACAUUCUCCCAUGUCAACUACCACCCUUUUUUUUUUCUUUCUCUCACCACCUUAUCCAUUACGUCUUAUAAUGAUUUAAAAUCGAUGGAAAUCCUUCACAAAAGGGUAAUCUUGUACACCCCUUGUAUAAUUAAUAUAACACCCUUGUAUAGUGGCAAAAAUUCCAUACACAUCAUGUUGAAUGAGCCGAAUGUGUUUUAUCCAUGCUUUCGUUCAUCUAGUUGGGAAAAGAAGGGAAAACUCGAAUAUGAAGUCCACUCUCCAAUCAUCAUUAGUGGAGUUAAUAUUCAAAUUAUCAUGUGUGAGUAUAGAAACAUGCACGAGAUGAGUGUGUGAUAAAGGAAUGUGUGUGAAAGAAGCAAGGGAGUGGAUCAAAAUCAAUUGAAAUCCUUCACAAAAAGAUAGCUUUGUACACCCCAUGUAUAGUUAAUGCAUCAACCUUGUACAAUUGGUGUAACACUCAUAUGUGGUGGAACAAAUUUCAUAUACCUCAUAGUGGAUGUGUGCUCAUAGAUGUGUUAAACAAGUUUCUAGUAGUUUGAUUGAGAAAAAGGCAAAAAACUCAAAUCCAAAUUUUUUUCCCCAAUAAUCAUUAGUGGGGUAGGUAUUCAAAUUAUUAUGUGUGAGUGUAGAGACAUGCAUGCGACGAGUGUAUGAUGAAGGAAUAUGUGUGAGGAGAAUGUCUAGUCCUUGGGUAAGGGAAAUAGGCAAGGGAGUGGAUUAGAACUAAUAUAAAUCCUUCACAAAAGACAAUUAGUGUAACACCCUUAUAUAGUGGCAUAAAUUCCAUUCAUCUCAUAGUGAAUGUAUGCACAUAGGUCUUAAAUCUGUUUCCAAUGGUUUGGUAGAAGCAAAGAUAAGGUAAGUUGAUUCUGAAGCAAACUCCCUAAAAAUGAUUAGUGGGGUACGUAUUUGAAUUGUCAUGUGUGAAUGUACAAAGGUGCAUGUAAUGAAUGUGUGAUCUAGGAAUAUGUGUGAAAUGUUUCCAAUCCUUGGGUAAGGGAAAUAAGAGUAAAGGAGUGAUUCACAAUCACUUGAAUUACUUCAUAAAUGGAACCUUAUACACUUCUUCUAUAGUUAGUUCAUUAGUCUUGUACAAUUACCAUAAUGCCUUUGCACAAUAAUACAAAUUCUAUAUAGUUAGUGUAAAUCUUUUGUGCAAUGGUAUAAAUUCCAUACAACUCAUAUUAAAUGUGUGUGCAUAAGUGUGUUAAUCAUGUUUCAUGUGGUUUGGUAGAAGAAAAGAGAAGACUAGUUGAUUUCAAAGUGAACUCCUCAAACAUAAUUAAUAGGAUAGGUAUUUGAGUUGCCCUAUGUGAGUGUACAAAUGUGCAUUAGUGCAUGCGAUGAGUAAAAUUAUUUAAAAUACGUAAAAGAAAUUUUUAUAUUUACUAUUGAUAUUAUAGAAUUAUAAUCUUAUUUCUUUUUUAUCAAUAAUAUCACAUAUUUAAAUUAGAAAGUAAUUUAUUUUAAUAGAUCAAAAUGUGCACAAUUAAUCUAUUACUUUAUUAAUUCUGGAUAUAUUAAAAUUUUCCUAUUAACAAAAAGAACUAAUAGAGAAAAUAAAAUAAAAAAUAUUAAUAUAUAUAUAUAUAUAUAUAUAAUUUAGUUAUUUAAUUAUUUUUCAUGCAAAACAUAGUAAUACAAGAAAAAAAAAUACACAAUUGGCCAAUUCCUUUGUUUAAUUGUAAACAUACUAUUUUUUUAUUAAAAUAACUAAUGGAAAAAAUAAAAAAGAAUAAAUGGAAUUUAAUUCAUUUUAUUAUUUUCACUUAAAAAAUAAUACUAAAAAAGGUUUACAAUUUUCAUUUUUAAAGAUAGUUUUCAUUUUUUUUUAAUUAAACAUAUUUUCAAAAAGAGAAAAUAAAGAAAAUAAAAAUUAUUUUUAAAAAUAAAAACUAGAAAAAUGUUUUCAAACCAAACUCAAAAUUUUUUAACUUCUCAUUUUCAUCUAAAAUGAGCAAUUAUACCAUUCAACCCUUUUAUACAAAAAAAAAAAAAAAAAAAUCAAUCUCUACUAUGCUAUGUACCGGCACAAUCCACUUCUAAAAUUAGGUUAUACGAAAAUAUUUUAAUUGGAUAUUUAAAGUAAAAACUCUCUAUCCAACCUUUUUCUUUUUCUUAUUUUGAUAAAUUUUCAAUUAACUCAAAUCAUUAAAAAAAAAAUCCUUAGUAAACAAAUUUGCAACAUUUCAUAUAACUUAUCACUAGAAAUCUUGUUCAAAAAUUUAUUAAAACAAGGAACGACAAAGAUUAAAAGAAAUUAAACUUUUUAUUUUAGGAAUAGUAAAAAUAAAAAAAUACAAAAACUUUAAAAUGUUUUUUAGUAUAAAAGAAAAGAAAACAAUGAAUAUGUUGAUUUCAAAUAGUGUUUUAAUCAUUAAAUUAUUUACUUCUAAAUUGUAAAAGAUAAUUUUUAUUCAUUUAAAUUAACAUAUUUUUUUAGAAAGUAUUUUUCAAAAUAGUUUGUGAAUCAUUAAUGUAAUUUGUUUAUUUAUAAUUUAAAAAUAGAAAAUAAUGCUGAUUUUCAAUUAUUUAUAAAAGAGAUUUAAAAAGUAAUGAAAAAUCCAAAUAAUGAUUAAAAUAAGGGACAAUUGUGUUGGAGCUAACAUGUGAAGAGUGGUGCAAUAAAGACAAGAGAGUUUCAUAAAUAAUGGGUGCCACAAACAACAUAAGUUGUUAAUUUGGGACAAUUUUUAUAAUAUCUAAUGUGGUAGGUCUAAUGGGUAUUUUUGUCCAUUAUUAUUUCAUAUCCUUACUAUCAAUUAUGGGUUAUAUGAGGUUAGGUCAAUUUUCAAGCCCAUCUCACCUCAAAGCGUAAUUCUCCCUAACAAUUAAUGAAAUGAAUAACUUGUGGCUAAGAUCAUGGUGUCACAAAUGAAAAUAAAUAAAUAAUAUUAAUAAUAAUUUAUUAAAUGUAAUCAAGGACGAAAAUAUUGAGAUAUAUCGGCGAUAUAUCGAUAAAUCAUGUAUCAGAAGCCUUCGACAAGAUAUUACAAGCUAAUAUAUCGAGGAGAAAAAUCGUUGAAAAUCACCAAAAUAUCACCGAUAUAUCUGUUGGUGGCGAUAAAUUGACAAAAUUUUCAAUUAAUUGGCUAAGGCGGUAGAAAAUCGUUAAUAUUUCGAUGAUAAAUCACUGAUUUUUUUAGAAAAAUCUCCAUCCACAUAUAAGCAUGAUCCAACGGCCCAGAUCACACCCAAGUGCAAUGGUCAUAUGCCCUAUCCAUCUGACCGCCCGAAUUGAAUCUAUGUUUGAUCCAACGGUUAAGAUCACAUUCCAACGGCUAUUUGAUGAUCCGAUGAUUAGAUUUCGCCCAAAUUUUGAUCCAACGGCCAGAAAUGUUUUUCAACGGUAAAAUGAUAUUUCAAUAACUAUUUUGGCCCAAAAUUUUCUUAUAAAUAACUCAUUUUGCAUCCAUUUGAUCCACAUUUCAUUGUAUUCUUCAUUUGAUUUUUCAUUGCUCAUAAUUUUUAUUAUUAUUAUUCUCAAAUUAUUAUAAAUUUGGGAAAUUUUUAAGGUUACACAUUUAUUCAAUUAUUCUAAAGUAUGUUUGUUUUAAAUUUUAAUUAAUUUUGUUUUCAAUUGUAAUUAAUUAAUGUAUUUUCAAUUAAUUAGUAUAUUUGCAAUAUGGAUGAUUUAAUGUUAUUUUUAUGUUCAAUUGUAAUUAAUUUGUAUAUUUCCAAUGAAUUAACUUAGUUUAAUUUGAUUAUUUAAUUUUAGAUGAAUGUGUUUAUUUUAGAUGAUUAUUUAAUUUUAAUUUCACAUUCAAUUAUAGUUAAUUAGUAUAUUUCGUAGAUUUUUCCAUAGAUUUAGAUUUAUUAAAUUAACUUAGCUAAAUUAUUUAAUUAACAUAAAUUAGUAUAUUUGGAAUAUGUUCAUUUUAAAUGAUUAUUUAAUUUUAUUUUCACAUUAAAUUAUAGUUAAUUAGUAUAUUUUGUAGAUUUCCCGUAGAUUUAGAUCUAGUAAAUAAACUUAGCUAAAUUAUUUAGUAAAUUUUCCAUAGAUUUAGAUUUAAAUUUAGUAGCUAAAUUAUUUAAUUAAUUUAAUUAACAUAAAUUACUAUAUUUGGAAUAUGUUCAUUCUACAUGAUUAGUUAAUUUUAUUUUCACAUUCAAUUGCAACAUGUUAAUUUUAAAUGAUUACUUAAUUUUAUUUUUACAUUCAAAUCACAUUCAAUUGUAUUUUUUUGCAAUAGAUUUAGAAUGGCUAGUGGAAGUGGAGGUAGUGGGACUCCCAUGUCAAGGCGAGAUCUAGCUUGAAAGCAUGAUCACUAGUACAAGGGAACAUAAUGGGACAAUUUGUAAUUAUUAUGGACUGUUGAUGAAAAGUGGAGGCAACACGUGAUUCAAGUUUCAUUCAGUGCAUAAAGACCUGCAUAACAACACCAAAAAGUAUCCUAGAGUACCUCUUGAACCGAAAGAAGAGAUACGAAAUAUGGUGCUUGAAAAAACUAAAGCAAAAGCAAGUAAAGUUGCAAAUAUUCAAGAGAUUCGUGCCCAAUUACGUGGCAUAAUGGGGGCCAAUCAUGCACCUCAUAGACGAGGAUGAUGAUGAUGAAGAUGUGUAUAUGUAUCCAACAAAUAUGCACCCAGAUGAGCGGGAUGCAUAUUGAUUUGCAGUUCAUGCCUUGAAAGCGACAGAAUGGGAGCGACAAAAAUAUGAGAACAUUGUAGGAAGUAAAUGUAAAACAGGGGAGUUUUCACAUCCUAAUGGUACAUCGACGAUGAUGCGAAAAUCACAAAGUAUGCGACAUUCGAACCAAUCACUACUUAUUCCCCCCUCACUCUACAAGUCUUCUGCAGCAAGACGAAAAAAAUAUCAAAGAUAUAUUCAAGGGUGGUUCAAUUAAAAAAACGACAAGACGUUUAGUAAGCAAAUUCUUCAUUUUUAAGAGCAUCGCACCCUAAAAAGCAAACUCUCAUCACUUCAAGAAUAUGAUUAUUGGUACACAACAAGCAAGUAAUUACUAAUUUUUUAUUUGUUAUAUCGUUUUAGACUUUUGGUACGUAUAGUCUUUUGUGACAUGUUUUAAACAUUUCUUAUAGAUGAAUUGUAGGAAUGAGAAUUGAACCUUCAUCUCCAUAUGAAAUAAAGAACAAGUAAUUGGAAAUGGGGGACAAAGAAAUGGAAGCUUAUGUGAACUAGCACAAAGAAAAGUGGAAGACAUAUGGGUGCAUGAUAGUGUCAAAUGGAUGGACAGGGCCCACAAAAUUAAGUAUUAUUAAUUUCAUGGUCUAUGUAAAAGGGACCACAGUGUUCCUUAAGUUAGUCGAUGCAUCAAAUAAUAUCAAAGACCACAAGUAUAUAUACAAGCUAUUGAAGAGUGUUAUCAAAGAAAUCAGGCAAGAAAAUGUGGUCCAAAUUGUCAUGGAUAACAGUUAGGUGUUUGUGAAAGCAAGAAAGCUAUUGAUGAAGAAGUUUAACUUAUAUUGGACUCUGUGUGUGAUGCACUGCAUUGACUUAAUCUUUGAAGACAUCGACAAAAGACCCAAUGUUACAGAUAUGAUAAACAAUGCCCGCAAGAUAACCAACUUCAUUUACAACCAUGGUUGAUUACUUGCACAAAUGAGAAAGUAUUGUGGUGGAGAUAUUUUGUGACUGGGAGCUACAAGGUUUGCUACCAAUUAUAUUGCUCUUGAUAGCCUUCUUAAAAAAAUAGUUGAUUUGAAAAAAUUGUUUAUGGGUGAUGAAUGGGCACAACACAAGCUCAAUCGAAGAAAAUUUGGCCGAGAUUCGGAGCAAUUAAUGUUUUACCAUUUAUAUUGGGAUAGAGUGACAAAUGUAGUUUCAUUAUAUGAGCCACUAUACGUGGUGCUUUGACUAAUGGAUUUUGAAGUUGUUUCCACAAUGUUGUUUGUGUAUGAGCUUAUGCACAUGAUGAGAGAGAAACUCAUUCGUCAAGGAGUUGGAGAUUGGAUCUUCAAAAUAAUAAAAGAUCGUUGAGAGAAAACACUGAAACAUCCACUUCAUGCAACAUGUACUUAAGUACUGUCUAUCUUUAUAAGUUCUUACUCUUAAUUUAUUAAUUUUCUCUUACAAAAUACUAAAUCUACUUAAUUUUAUUGUAGCAUAUUUCUUGAAUCCAAGGUUUUAAUAUAGGUGUGGAGUUGGUAGUGAUCCAGAACUAUUUCAAGCGAUUUAUGAUGUUUUUACUAAAUUAGACCCAACUAUUGAAUCACUUGGUCAAUUUGGAAAUUAAAUAAAUAAAAAAAACUAUUAUUUUACUCAAUUUAAUAAAACAAUAAUUUCAUUCAUCAAUUUAUUUGAACGUUUAAUAACAAAUAUGAUAUUAACAAAUUAAAUGUUGAAUAUAUCACUUAUGCUUUUUCGAGAUGCAAAAAGAGGAUUCGGUGAUCGAGCGACGAUUGCAACAAGGUCAACCAUGGUGCCUAGUGAGUACUAUUUCUUAAUAGAUAAAAAUUUGAUUAUCAUUAUUGUAAAUUCACCAUAUAAGUAUUUAUAUAAUUAUUAAUUCGGUUACAACUAAAUGGUGGCACAUGUAUGGGAAUCAAAAACCUACAUUGAGGAAGUUGGUCAUCAAAGUUCUCUCAUAAACUACGUCAUUUUCUACUUGUGAGAGAAAUUGGAGCACGUUCACUCUCAUCCACACAAAGCAACGAAAUCAUUUGGCUUUACCCCAAUUGGAGCAAUUAGUUUUUUGUUACUAUAAUAUGAAGUUAAAGUUACACAAUAUGGAGACGGAAUGAUUGAGUUGUUAAGAAAGAUUACCUUGAUCUUCUUGACAUUUCAGCCAAGGUGGGUAAAGAAAAAAAUAAUCAGUUGUUCCAAGUUAGGCCUAUACACUUGGAUGAUGAAGUUCGAAAUCCUGAUCCACAAAUUGCCGCUCAUGCUUGAGAAUUUGGAGUUAAUGUUGUCCAAAGAAGUUCACUCUUAAAGUUUUAGCAAAGAUACUGAGGAUUCAUUUUACACCGCAUUGAAUUCCCACCAAGAGGUUGACUUCACAAGUGCUGGCCAAAGUAGUAGACUUAAUGCUACUGGUACUUUUGCUUCUGGUUGCCAUGGUUCAAGAGGUGGAACUGAUGAUAGAGGUGAUAAUAUGGGAGGAGAUAUUGGGGAACACCAACAAAGUCAAUAUCCAAUGAGCCAAUUUACCUAUGAAAAUGAUUUCACACACUACACACAGGAUGAAGACCGUGGCUUUAGAAGAGUUGGUCGAGGCAUAGGAGCUAUUGGGAAGCCCUAAAAAGGAAGAGAGCAGAUGAUGGCAUCAUAUAAUGAGGAGUUACUUUCAAGGAUUUUUGAAUCUAUGAGUAUAAGGACUCAAUUUAGUGACUCCUUGAAUGAGGCUAACGUCUAACCUCCUUAUGUGAUGAGUUAUGGUCAACCUUCAAGCUUAACCGAUGAAAAGUAUGGUAUGUCAAGCUACUCUCCUUAUGCACAAAUGUCAUACCAAGUUCCAUAUCAAAUGCAAGGAGGAUUUGACAUGAAUACAUGGGUCAACCUCGAGUAUCCUAUCUAUGUAGAGGCAGUGGGAAGAAUUCAAGAGAUAUAUGCAUGACAUGUUAGAAUUUUUAACCAAUAUUACUAAGGCUUAAUGAAUUGGUACCAAUAUUGUCUCCAACAGCAAGACGAUGUUCCUUCAUCUACCAAUUUCGUUAAACCAUAUUAGUCCUCAUUUUGGUACUAAAGGGUCAUUAUAAUGUAAUAUGUACAAAUUAUUGAUAUUUAAUGAAAUUAAGUCUUUCAUGUAUCUUUAUAAUGAGUGUACAAUUACAAAAUUCACAUUUCUUAUCGACUGACAUGAUAUAAUUACAUUUAAUAUCGCAAAUCAUAUCAUACAUAUAUCAAAUUCUUCAACAAAACAACUUUAAAAUGUCUAUUAUACUUCUAAUUACGUUGCUAUGAGGUUUUUCUUACAUUUUCAUGAUUUUUUUUUUUUUAUCAAUUUUAGGUCUACCAAAAUUUUUUUUCCGAAAUAUCCACUAAUAUAUCUUCAAUAUAUCUGAUAUAUCUAUAAAAUCGAAGUAUCAAUAUAUCUAUGAUUACCGAUAUUUUUAUCACUGGAUAUAAUUAUGAGAAGGUAAAAUAGAUUCUUAAAAGAGAGUAAUUACUAAUUUGAGAUAAUUAGUCAAUAACAAUCAUUAUUUAUGUUCAUGUUUAUGCUAGAAGUUGAUGAAGUCCUUGAUAAAUUUGAUUGAUUUUUUUGAGUUAAAGGUUAAUAGUGUAAUCGGUAAUUUUAUAAUUUUGUAUUUAUUUUUGUCUAUUUUUGAAGUAUAAAAAUAUUUAAAUUUUCUAAAGUGAAUCAAGUAAUAUUUUUUAAAAAUAUAUUCUAAUUUUUUCUUUAAUUAGAAAAUAAAUUGACAAUAUCUUAUGAUUUGUAUAAUUAUUCUACAAGUAAAUUUUGUCUUUUAAUUUAUUGUAAUGGUUUAAAAAACUUUGUUUAAUAGCCUUAGUAGAAAGGGGAUAAGUAAUCAACCUUUGUUACCCUUGAUGAUGUAGUGACACAAUGUAACCCCAACCAAUAAGGGUGUUAUUAGCCUUUGGUACCAUUUAUCGGAAAUCAUUCCAUCACCAUAAAUAUGGAACAACUUCAGGCUACUUACCUAAUUUAAGUCUCACUACUUUAACCUAAUGUUAUUAUCAAUGGAUCAUAAUAAAAUGCUUAUUUAUGAAGUUCUUUUAAAUAUGAAUUGAUUUCGGCAUUAUGCUAUUUUAUUUUUAAAUUAAAGUGUUUAAUUCUUCAAAGAAAGGGAAUUCAAUUAUUGAAUUAAAUGAAUGCUAAUUGACAUCUAUUAAAAAAAAAAUAUGAUUUCUUUUGGGAUUUAAUUUUGUAUUAUACUUAGUCCUUGUUAUUGAACUAUUUUUUUCUUACUAAAUUAUCAAUCUCACUCUUCUUUAUUAUUCAAAUUUUCAAGUUCAAAUGAUAUCAAUGAGGAGAAACUGAGAUAAAAAGGGUGUUUCUAUUAUAAACAAAUUUAGAAUUGAUUAUUGAGGAUUGUUGAUUUAGGACUACAUUCGGUUAUGAUUUCUAGCUAUUAUUUUUAUUUAACCAUUUUGGGAAAAUUGUUGAUUUUAUUGUUGAGUUAAUUAGUCUUGGAUUAGAAAUUUAUGACUUUUCAAUUAUGCUCUACUUAUUGUUUUGAAUCAAUUUGAGAUAGUUGUUGGAUAGCUACAUGUUGGAUUAUUUAGUUAAGGUCAUUCAUGUGUUUGGUUCUCAUAUUUGACAUGUAAAAUGAUCAUGAUACCCUUGACUCGAGGUUUGGGAUUCGGGGACUCAUAGAAACCCAUGACAUUUAUCUUCAUUGGUACUUUCCUCUCUUUUCCCAUGGAGUUCCCUCUUCUUUUGGCCUUUUUGCCUUUCUUCUCCUUUUUUGUAAAAAUAGGGAAUAGAUCCAAAGCCAACUUCUUAACUCAAAAGUCUCCCUUAAUGCUAGCGAAACUACCUCUAAUUGUGAACAUGCAUGAACCCAUUAUUAUUUUCAUAAUUAUUUGUUAAAGUGUGCAUAUUUUCUUCAUAAAAGUCAGUGAUCAGUUUUUUAGCACAUAUUUGAGAGUGAUAUAUAUAUAUAUAUAAAAGUUAAUUUCACUCACCUCCUCUUACACCUUACCUUAGUCGAUUUGAAAUUUCAUCAAAUAUCUUUUAUAUUUACAGUUAAAAUGGAAAUAAGUGAAAAUAACAAAUGAAAAUGAUAAGGAAAGUAUUUGACCAAAUUUCAAAUCAAUGAGGAUUAUGUAUGUUUAGUAAAAAUCUUAGAAAAAAUAAAUGAAAUUAACCCAAAAACUAUUCAUGAAUUGAACAAUGGGCAAACCCCAUCAAUCACCUCACUCAUGUGUAACAUCAUGCAUAGACAUGAGCCUCAUCUUCAUCCAUAAGAAGACAACCAAAGAGUGGUUGGCAGCCACAAUCACUUAUUUUUGCAAGUUGCCAACGGGCAUAAAUUGAAGGCAUCUCUACUAAGAAACCCAUCACAUUUAAUCUUCACAGCUACUUUCUUUCUCUUUCUGCUCAUGGACUUCCAAUUCUCUUCUAUCCUCUUUGCCUUUCUUCUCUUUCUGUACAUGCUGUACAAAAUGGGGGAGAGAUCCAAAGCCAGCAUCUCAACUCAAAAGCUGCCCCCAGGGCCAUGGAAACUACCUCUAAUUGGAAACAUGCAUCAGCUUGUUGGCUCUCUUCCUCACCAAUCCCUAAGUCGCUUGGCCAAGCAAUACGGGCCUCUCAUGAGCCUACAACUUGGUGAAGUUUCCACGCUCAUUAUUUCAUCACCAGACAUGGCCAAACAAGUUAUGAAAACCCAUGACAUCAAUUUUGCCCAAAGGCCUCCUCUUUUAGCUUCCAAGAUUUUAUCUUAUGAUUCUAUGGACAUUGUUUUUUCUCCGUAUGGCGACUAUUGGAGACAAUUGCGCAAAAUUUGUGUAGUUGAACUUCUAACUGCCAAGCGUGUCAAAUCCUUCCAAUUGGUUAGGGAAGAGGAGCUUUCAAAUCUCAUUACAGCGAUCGUUUCUUGUUCAAGGCCCAUUAAUCUUACUGAAAAUAUUUUCUCUAGCACUUUUUCUAUUAUAGCAAGAGCAGCUAUUGGUGAAAAAUUCGAAGGCCAAGAUGCAUUCUUAUCAGUUAUGAAGGAAAUCGUGGAGCUGUUUUCUGGUUUCUGUGUUGCUGAUAUGUAUCCUUCUGUCAAAUGGCUUGACCUGAUCAGUGGAAUGAGAUAUAAACUUGACAAGGUAUUUCAGAGGACUGAUAGGAUGCUCCAAAACAUUGUUGAUCAGCAUAGAGAGAAAUUGAAAACACAAGCAGGCAAGCUACAAGGGGAGGGAGAUCUAGUUGAUGUUCUUUUAGAGCUUCAACAACAUGGUGAUCUUGAAUUUCCCUUAACUGACAACAACAUCAAAGCAGUCAUACUGGUUAGUUACCCUACCUUUAAAUUCAAUUAUGCCAAAAUUUAGGUUUUUUCCCCCACAACAUUAAAUGGAAAAGUUAGGUGUGAUUAAUAUUUUCAACAAUCAACAAUCAACAAUCCACAAUCAACAAUCGUGAGCUAAAGUCUCAUACUGUAAAUGUUUGUGGUUCCUUUGAGUAUUGCAUAUACCCAGUGAGAUAUUAUACCAAUGGUUUUUUCUCAUCUUUGAUCUAUCCUCUUGCAGGACAUUUUCAGUGGUGGAGGCGAGACAACAUCCACUUCUUUAGACUGGGCAAUGUCAGAAAUGCUGGAAAACCCAAGAGUGAUGGAGAAGGCACAGGCUGAGGUGAGGCGGGUGUUUGAUGGAAAAGGGAAUGUGGAUGAAACUGGCCUUGACGAAUUAAAAUUCUUAAAAGCAGUAGUGAAAGAAACCUUGAGGCUACACCCUCCUCUUCCUCUACUAGUUCCAAGGGAAUGUAGGGAGAUGUGUGAAAUUAAUGGAUAUGAGAUACCCAAGAAGACUUCAAUCAUUGUUAAUGCAUGGGCCAUUGGCCGAGAUUCUGAUUAUUGGGUUGAAGCUGAGAGAUUUUACCCAGAGAGAUUCCUUGAUAGUUCAAUUGAUUACAAGGGUACUGAUUUUGGAUAUAUACCAUUUGGUGCUGGAAGAAGGAUGUGUCCUGGCAUAUUAUUUUCUAUGCCUAGCAUUGAACUGUCACUGGCCCAUUUGACCAUUUUGACUGGAAACUCCCAAAUGAAAUGAAGGCAGAGGAUCUAGACAUGACUGAAGCAUUCGGUCUAGCAGUCCGCAGAAAACAAGAUCUGCUCUUAAUUCCCAUUCCUCAUAAUCAAUCGCAUGCUCAGUGAUACUACGCAGAAGAAGCAUUAGAUUGAUGGAUGUUUUUUAUUUGCAUUAAUGCGAACUUUCUGCUAUAUGUAUUGUCUUAAACAUUAUUCUCUAUUUCUACUAUUGUAAUUAAUGCAAUAGAAGUUGCUAAACUAUAACAAAAAUUUCUAGUUCUUCAAUCUUUAUGAAUCAUUGUG